rnacentral:rRNA from 1 species
UACGAAGGGGGCUAGCGUUGCUCGGAAUCACUGGGCGUAAAGGGUGCGUAGGCGGGUCUUUAAGUCAGGGGUGAAAUCCCGGGGCUCAACCUCGGAAUUGCCUUUGAUACUGUCGAUCUCGAGUCCGGGAGAGGUGAGUGGAAUUCCUAGUGUAGAGGUGAAAUUCGUAGAUAUUAGGAAGAACACCAGUGGCGAAAGCGACUUCCUGGACCAAUACUGACGCUCAUGUGCGAAAGCGUGGGGAGCAAACAGG